rnacentral:rRNA from 1 species
UACAGAGGUCCCAAGCGUUGUUCGGAUUCACUGGGCGUAAAGGGUGCGUAGGCGGUCGGGUAAGUCUGAUGUGAAAUCUCACAGCUUAACUGUGAAACUGCAUUGGAUACUAUUCGGCUUGAGAGUUGGAGGGGGGACUGGAAUUCUUGGUGUAGCAGUGAAAUGCGUAGAUAUCAAGAGGAACACCAGUGGCGAAGGCGAGUCCCUGGACAACUUCUGACGCUGAGGCACGAAGCUAGGGGAGCAAACAGG